rnacentral:rRNA from 1 species
UACGGAGGGUGCAAGCGUUAUCCGGAUUCACUGGGUUUAAAGGGUGCGUAGGUGGGUCUGAAAGUCAGUGGUGAAAUCUUCGAGCUUAACUCGGAAACUGCCAUUGAUACUCUGGAUCUUGAAUUUUCUGGAGGUUAGCGGAAUAUGUCAUGUAGCGGUGAAAUGCUUAGAUAUGACAUAGAACACCAAUUGCGAAGGCAGCUAACUACGGGAACAUUGACACUGAGGCACGAAGGCGUGGGGAUCAAACAGG